UACGUAGGGGGCAAGCGUUGUCCGGAUUUAUUGGGCGUAAAGAGCGUGUAGGCGGCCAGACAGGUCCGUUGUGAAAACUAGAGGCUUAACCUCUAGACGUCGAUGGAAACCGUCUGGCUAGAGUCCGGAAGAGGAGAAUGGAAUUCCUGGUGUAGCGGUGAAAUGCGCAGAUAUCAGGAAGAACACCAAUGGCGAAAGCAGCUCUCUGGGACGGUACUGACGCUGAGACGCAAAAGCGUGGGGAGCGAACAGG
rnacentral:rRNA from 1 species